rnacentral:rRNA from 1 species
UGGGGAAUAUUGGACAAUGGGCGAAAGCCUGACCCAGCAACGCCGCGUGAAGGAUGAAGUAUUUCGGUAUGUAAACUUCGAAAGAAUAGGAAGAAUAAAUGACGGUACUAUUUAUAAGGUCCGGCUAACUACGUGCCAGCAGCCGCGGUAAUACGUAGGGACCAAGCGUUGUUCGGAUUUACUGGGCGUAAAGGGCGCGUAGGCGGCAAUUCAAGUCAUCUGUGAAAUCUCCGGGCUUAACUCGGAACGGUCAGAUGAUACUGCUUUGCUAGAGUGCAGAAGGGGCAAUCGGAAUUCUUGGUGUAGCGGUGAAAUGCGUAGAUAUCAAGAGGAACACCUGAGGUGGAGACGGGUUGCUGGGCUGACACUGACGCUGAGGCGCGAAAGCCAGGGGAGCAAACGGGAUUAGAUACCCACGUAGUCCCUGAGCGGGCUGGCAAGGCGCAU